rnacentral:lncRNA from 1 species
UACAUGUUUCUUUCCUUGGUGAUUGAAGGACAUAGUAAGUUCUGUAAAGUCCAUGGUCACUGGACCCAAUGUCUUCAUCCACAAUGCUCCCAGAACAAUAUCAUAUCGACCAAUAGGGAACACUAUUAAAUCCGACUGAUAAGUAAUGCCCUGCAGCAUCCACCCAAAGUCCUUAACUACUCCAGUUGUGGUCUCCUUAGCAUUGUUGCCAAGACUCACAUAGCUCGUGGGAGUAGGAACAACAGUGCAUCCCAACCUUUUCACACAAUCUUUAUCAAUAAAAUUGUGUGUACU